rnacentral:rRNA from 1 species
AUGAACGCUGGCGGCGUGCCUAAUACAUGCAAGUCGAGCGAACGGACGAUAAGCUUGCUUCUCUGAUGUUAGCGGCGGACGGGUGAGUAACACGUGGAUAACCUACCUAUAAGACUGGGAUAACUUCGGGAAACCGGAGCUAAUACCGGAUAAUAUUUUGAACCGCAUGGUUCAAAAGUGAAAGACGGUCUUGCUGUCACUUAUAGAUGGAUCCGCGCUGCAUUAGCUAGUUGGUAAGGUAACGGCUUACCAAGGCAACGAUGCAUAGCCGACCUGAGAGGGUGAUCGGCCACACUGGAACUGAGACACGGUCCAGACUCCUACGGGAGGCAGCAGUAGGGAAUCUUCCGCAAUGGGCGAAAGCCUGACGGAGCAACGCCGCGUGAGUGAUGAAGGUCUUCGGAUCGUAAAACUCUGUUAUUAGGGAAGAACAUAUGUGUAAGUAACUGUGCACAUCUUGACGGUACCUAAUCAGAAAGCCACGGCUAACUACGUG